AGUGAACGCUGGCGGUAGGCUUAACACAUGCAAGUCGAACGGCAGCACAGUAAGAGCUUGCUCUUACGGGUGGCGAGUGGCGGACGGGUGAGGAAUACAUCGGAAUCUACUUUUUCGUGGGGGAUAACGUAGGGAAACUUACGCUAAUACCGCAUACUACCUACGGGUGAAAGCAGGGGAUCUUCUGACCUUGCGCGAUUGAAUGAGCCGAUGUCGGAUUAGCUAGUUGGCGGGGUAAAGGCCCACCAAGGCGACGAUCCGUAGCUGGUCUGAGAGGAUGAUCAGCCACACUGGAACUGAGACACGGUCCAGACUCCUACGGGAGGCAGCAGUGGGGAAUAUUGGACAAUGGGCGCAAGCCUGAUCCAGCAAUACCGCGUGGGUGAAGAAGGCCUUCGGGUUGUAAAGCCCUUUUGUUGGGAAAGAAAAGCAGCAGGUUAAUACCCCGCUGUUAUGACGGUACCCAAAGAAUAAGCACCGGCUAACUUCGUG
rnacentral:rRNA from 1 species